rnacentral:rRNA from 1 species
UACGGAGGGUGCAAGCGUUGUCCGGAUUUAUUGGGUUUAAAGGGUGCGUAGGCGGCCCGUUAAGUCAGUGGUGAAAGCCUCCAGCUCAACUGGGGAAUUGCGCCUGAAACUACCGUGCUCGAGGAAGACAGAGGUACGCGGAACUUAGGGUGGAGCGGUGAAAUGCGUUGAUAUCCUAAGGAACACCGGUGGCGAAAGCGGCGUACUGGGUCUUAUCUGACGCUGAGGCACGAAAGCUAGGGUAGCGAACGGG